UUCCUGAUGCGGCAACCCACCAGCCCAGCGCGCCCAGGUCACGCCGCCGGAAGCCGCCUGGACUCCCCCGGAAACGGAAGUCAGGGGGCGCCGUCCCAGAAGCUCUGAGCUAGGGACGGGCCCUGGCAACAGUCGUGGAGAGAGCAACACGCGCCUGAAGGUCUGUGCGCGCUGACGCCGGGCAGGGGAAUGGAAAUGAACCAGCACAUAGUGUAUCGAUUCUUUCUCAGGCUCGUAACAUUACGGAAUCCCUGUUGAAGUGCAAGCUGGACUGGCGGAAAUCAGAUUUCCCAUAUCUUCUCAAAAGCUGUUUGUCAAGAUUGGAUGCCUGGAGAGAGAGACCGAAACAGACAGAAGACAUACACAGAGAGAGACUGACUGACUUGUAUCUUUGAGAAAAGAAGGACACAGAAAAUUGCAGGGUAACCAGACCCUGUCUGAGAGAGAAUUCUUUCUUUGUGCUAACAGUGGAGAAAUGCGGGGCUGUCAUAUGAGGAGCAGUCUUACUCUUUGUGUAUCAGGUAAGGCAGAAAAGAGAAGACUAAGGUUCAAGGAAAGGGAGAAUUAGAAGCGGCCAAUUGAUUGAAAUCAACAAAAGGACGGCCAAGAAAUAUGAGAAACGAAGAGGAAGGAAAGACUGAGAGGGCGUUCUGUCAAUAGCAUUUAAAAGAGAGUAAGGAAUGUAAAGUGACCCGCUGUGAGGGAGCUACAAGAUACCAUCUGUGUUCUUUUCCCUGUGAGACCCUCUCUUCUGAAAAGAAUUGUCAUCCUCAAGCCCCGAACAGCGCUGCACUAUUUUGUUGGUGAUCUUGCUUUUAAAAUGUAGACUAUGAUGUUAUUUUAAGAGUUCAAUUAAUCUGCGACAACAUUCCAGUAUUUUGUAAAAUGAAAAUAUGCCGAGUCAUCCUGUCAAGAGAGAGGAUAACCUUCAAGAAGCUAGGGUAUUUUUUUCCCUAUCAUCAUGGUUGCCGAUUUUGACAGGGAGUUACCCAACGUGCAAGGAAUAUUCCUUGGUGUUAGCAGUGGGUUCCAUAUCAUGUUUUGAGCUAGUAUGGUCUUCUGGUCUAGAGCCAUUUGUGUCUGAAAAUGAUGGUUGUAGUAACAAUUUGUCAUAUUCUCUUUGCAGCAAGUUCCUUUUGCUCAUGAGCCUGUUAUUAUUGAAGAAGCAUUUCGUUGUAGGUAAAUGACCCUUGCCUUCUGUCUUUAAUUGAAACUCAGCCUGCUACAGUUAAUAUGUUUCAUUGCUCACUAAAUCUUGGGAGGAAAACCUAAUGUGCUAUAAAAGCAAAGGAAACAAAAUUAAUUGAUUUCAGCACACAUUUUUCCUAUGCGAUGGAGCCAGCUGUUUCGAAAGUAGAGUGCAUAUGAGUAGCUGGCUGUGGGCAUGUAUGCUUCUAUGAUUAUAUUCUGUUGUUUUUCAAAAGGAGCUCUUUUGAUAUUCUUUAUUAUGUAAUCUUCCUCACUUUCUUACCAGUAUCUGUUCAGUUGUAUAGUUCUGUUUUGAGAAGAAUAAACCUUUGGUCUAUAUGAAA